CUCGGCCCACCCGCCUCCGCUCUGUCUGUCCCCCCUCAAAAAAAGAAAAAGAAAAAAACUGUCACCGCUGCACACUGAGACGGACCGCCGCUGGAGGGGGGGGAGUCGCGGCCGCCGCCGGCCGCUGGGAAGAAGACGGCCUCGCCGGCAGGACGUGCGCGGCUCCCUUCCGCCGAAGAGCUCCGACCGGAGGACAAGUGUGCUGCAUAUUUGUAUUACCAAGGUGAAAAACACAGGGCAGUUUAACCAACAGCUCAAGGCGGUCGAAUAUGAUGCGUGUAAAUGAGUGCCCUCACAGAAGAUACAUCAUCUGAGUCCCAAGAUAGAUCCUUGUACUUUGAUGAAAACCAAAUCAUAUAUAAUGUGGUUUCUUCCAUA